GGAUUGUCCUCAGGCUUGGCAACAUUGCUCGGUUGGAACUUAAUUACUGCAUCCCCAUGGGAGUACAGACAGGCGACAGAUACAAAGGCAGAGUUCAAAUCAGCAAUUCCCCAUUGACAAAGUAUUAAGAAACUUUCACGGAAUAAAUGAUGAGAAGUGGAGUUGUCAC
rnacentral:sRNA from 1 species